GUUGAGUGGCGGACGGGUGAGUAACACGUGGGUAACCUGCCUAAAAGAAGGGGAUAACACUUGGAAACAGGUGCUAAUACCGUAUAUCUCUAAGGAUCGCAUGAUCCUUAGAUGAAAGAUGGUUCUGCUAUCGCUUUUAGAUGGACCCGCGGCGUAUUAACUAGUUGGUGGGGUAACGGCCUACCAAGGUGAUGAUACGUAGCCGAACUGAGAGGUUGAUCGGCCACAUUGGGACUGAGACACGGCCCAAACUCCUACGGGAGGCAGCAGUAGGGAAUCUUCCACAAUGGACGCAAGUCUGAUGGAGCAACGCCGCGUGAGUGAAGAAGGUCUUCGGAUCGUAAAACUCUGUUGUUAGAGAAGAACACGAGUGAGAGUAACUGUUCAUUCGAUGACGGUAUCUAACCAGCAAGUCACGGCUAACUACGUGCCAGCAGCCGCGGUAAUACGUAGGUGGCAAGCGUUGUCCGGAUUUAUUGGGCGUAAAGGGAACGCAGGCGGUCUUUUAAGUCUGAUGUGAAAGCCUUCGGCUUAACCGGAGUAGUGCAUUGGAAACUGGAAGACUUGAGUGCAGAAGAGGAGAGUGGAACUCCCAUGUGUAGCGGUGAAAUGCGUAGAUAUAUGGAAGAACACCAGUGGCGAAA
rnacentral:rRNA from 1 species